rnacentral:tRNA from 1 species
GGGGUUAUAGCAUAACUUGGCAGUGCAGCAGACUCCAGAUAUUUAUUAUAUAUUGAGCGCAAAGCGAUGAUUAGAAUCUGGAAAUUUGAUAAUUAUGAAGUAAUCUGCCAAUCGGGGUUCAAAUCCCCGUAACCCCA